AGUGAACGCUGGCGGUAGGCCUAACACAUGCAAGUCGAACGGCAGCACAGUAAGAGCUUGCUCUUACGGGUGGCGAGUGGCGGACGGGUGAGGAAUACAUCGGAAUCUACUUUUUCGUGGGGGAUAACGUAGGGAAACUUACGCUAAUACCGCAUACGACCUACGGGUGAAAGCAGGGGAUCUUCGGACCUUGCGCGAUUGAAUGAGCCGAUGUCGGAUUAGCUAGUUGGCGGGGUAAAGGCCCACCAAGGCGACGAUCCGUAGCUGGUCUGAGAGGAUGAUCAGCCACACUGGAACUGAGACACGGUCCAGACUCCUACGGGAGGCAGCAGUGGGGAAUAUUGGACAAUGGGCGAAAGCCUGAUCCAGCCAUACCGCGUGGGUGAAGAAGGCCUUCGGGUGGUAAAGCCCUUUUGUUGGGAAAGAAAAGCAGCAGGUUAAUACCCCGCUGUUCUGACGGUACCCGAAGAAUAAGCACCGGCUAACUUCGU
rnacentral:rRNA from 1 species